rnacentral:misc_RNA from 1 species
AAAACGCGAUAAGUAAUGUGAAUUGCAGAAUUCAGUGAAUCAUCGAAUCUUUGAACGCACAUUGCGCCCGCCAGUAUUCUGGCGGGCAUGCCUGUUCGAGCGUCAUUUCAACCCUCAAGCCCCCGGGUUUGGUGUUGGGGAUCGGGCUGCGGUUCUACCGCGUCCCGGCCCCGAAAUCUAGUGGCGGUCUCGCUGCAGCCUCCAUUGCGUAGUAGCUAACACCUCGCAACUGGAACGCGGCGCGGCCAAGCCGUUAAACCCCCAACUUCUGAAUGUUGACCUCGGAUCAGGUAGGAAUACCCGCUGAACUUAAGC